rnacentral:tRNA from 1 species
GUUUUUAUAAUUUAAUCAAAAAUACUGAUCUUGUAAAUCAGCUUUAAGAAUUUUUCUUUAAAAACU